GCUAAACUAACUUUAUUUAUACUGGAUAGCUCUAUCAGUUCUAAACUGUUCUUCCUAGAGGUCCAGUAAGGGUCUUAUUAUUAAGUCCGUUUCCUUUUCAACGAAAACGAAUAUGAAACUAUACCCAAUAUUCCAGACCACGCGGCCUAUAUAGCUCUGCGCGCAAAUAUAGUUUAUUAAAAUAUCCCCCACACAAAGUCCAACACAUCAUAACAGCGAUUUAAUAUUCAAAGAUGCAUUAAAAAUGACGAAUCUGAGAGCAUAAUUCAUUUUUAAAAAAUCCACGCAUUAAAGUUGAGUGCGUACACCUGUGAUUAAAGUCGAUUCGGUGCUAAUGGUGUGCCAAUAAAUGUCAAAUUUCGAUAGCUCUAAGAUUGUGUGUUUGUCGGCGCGCGGCUAGCCAGAUGCUGUUCGGCGUAAAAAAGGUUAUCGGCGCCCGACUAUUGCUGUUUUGUUUCCCGACUGAAUAUGGCAGCUGCUUUUUUGCUUGGCCGACUUUUUUCCGCUUUCAUUUCGGAGGCUUGUCUUGUCGUGUAUUCACACUCCUUGUGGGUAUAUACGCUCAGGAAAAUUUAAA